rnacentral:misc_RNA from 1 species
GAUGAAGAACGCAGCGAAAUGCGAUAAGUAAUGUGAAUUGCAGAAUUCAGUGAAUCAUCGAAUCUUUGAACGCACCUUGCGCUCCUUGGUAUUCCAAAGAGCAUGCUGUUUGAGUAUCCUUAAAUUAUCAACUGUACCAAUUUGGUUUCAGAUUGGAUGUGGGAGAUUUUUCAGGCUUUUGAUUUCUCUUUGAGAAAACGGUCAGCUCUCCUGAAAUAUAUUAGCAGUGCCUUUGUUGGUUCAUUAGGUGUGAUAAUUUAUCUACAUCUUCACAUGGUACCUUCAUUUGUGUAAAGGUCAUAUUGCUUCUAAUUGUCUUUGGACAUAAAAAAAAAAAAACAUAUAAUUGUAUGGAAAACUUGAUCUCAAAUCAGGCAGGACUACCCGCUGAACUUAAGCAUAUCAAUAAGCGGAGGA